rnacentral:lncRNA from 1 species
AAUCACAACCAAAGCUUAAAGCUGUUGGGAUGAGCAGCUGCCUGGGAAUCACGCUCCUUCCUGCUCUUUCCAAAAAGCCAGGUGCCGCCGGCCAGCAUCCCGCUCCCUUUGACCCGCAGUCUGUGCGGGAAGUAGGCCCGGAGUGGUGCCAGCAGGAGGUGGCCUUAGAAAGGCGGAGACCCAAGGAGCAGAGUGAGUCGGCGUCCAGCUCCACCUGAAAGCGCCAUCUUGUCGCCACUUCCCUCAGGAGCAGCAUGCCCAGCCUCUUGCAUAGGAAGAAGUGGUAAGCUAAGGAGAGAAAUGCAGGGUUCCUAGUACACCAAUUUUCCAACUUUUUCAUCUUGGCCCUGCUUUAAAAUGAUGCAUCUACUGUCUUCAUGCCUCAGCACAGCAGAGAAAACCAUGCUGUGUUCCAGUUUACUUUGAAUGUUUCAGUGAAAAUGAUGAAGCUGAAAAAAUGACGGAGGCCCGUUUUACAUGGUCACCUGAAUGUGGAAAAGUUGAGUUGGAGCAAAACUGGCACGGCCAUACUGGAUGGACCUCAGCAUGACCAGGACACAUUUCAGCUCAAAUCCCCUGUGCCAAGAACACAUUCUGCCAAGGACCACCACCUCUUCCCACAACUGUGAGUGGAUUUAUGUCAUCACAGGAGGUGCAAAAACGUGUGGUGAGGUAAAUGAAUUGGGAUGUCCUUGGCUGCCUGAGCAAGAGGGCAACUUUCCUGCCUUUAGAAUAGAGAAAACACAGCAGGAUAAUUAAGAGGAUGAGACUUUGGUUCCAACAGACAGUGGCUUCUCCUUCCCUAAAUUGCCCUUAUUUUGUAGUAAGUUAUAAUAUGUUUAUUUUCUACCACCUUAUUACUUCACUACGUGAACCAAAAAUAAAAUCCUAAAGCCAACCA